AUUGAACGCUGGCGGCAUGCCUUACACAUGCAAGUCGAACGGCAGCGCGGACUUCGGUCUGGCGGCGAGUGGCGAACGGGUGAGUAAUGUAUCGGAACGUACCAUUCAGUGGGGGAUAACGCAGCGAAAGUUGCGCUAAUACCGCAUAUUCUGCGCGCAGGAAAGCAGGGGAUCGCAAGACCUUGCGCUGAUUGAGCGGCCGAUAUCAGAUUAGCUAGUUGGUGAGGUAAAGGCUCACCAAGGCGACGAUCUGUAGCGGGUCUGAGAGGAUGAGCCGCCACACUGGAACUGAGACACGGUCCAGACUCCUACGGGAGGCAGCAGUGGGGAAUGUUGGACAAUGGGCGCAAGCCUGAUCCAGCCAUGCCGCGUGAGUGAAGAAGGCCUUCGGGUUGUAAAGCUCUUUCGGCCGGGAAGAAAUCGUAUGGGUUAAUACCCUGUGCGGAUGACGGUACCGGCAUAAGAAGCACCGGCUAACUACGUGCCAGCAGCCGCAGUAAAAC
rnacentral:rRNA from 1 species